GUGGGGAAUUUUGGACAAUGGGCGCAAGCCUGAUCCAGCAAUGCCGCGUGUGUGAAGAAGGCCUUCGGGUUGUAAAGCACUUUUGGCAGGAAAGAAAUAGUGCGUGCUAAUACCAUGCGCGAAUGACGGUACCUGCAGAAUAAGCACCGGCUAACUACGUGCCAGCAGCCGCGGUAAGACGUAGGGUGCAAGCGUUAAUCGGAAUUACUGGGCGUAAAGCGUGCGCAGGCGGUUUUGUAAGACAGGUGUGAAAUCCCCGGGCUCAACCUGGGAACUGCACUUGUGACUGCAAGGCUAGAGUGUGUCAGAGGGAGGUGGAAUUCCGCGUGUAGCAGUGAAAUGCGUAGAGAUGCGGAGGAACACCGAUGGCGAAGGCAGCCUCCUGGGAUAACACUGACGCUCAGGCACGAAAGCGUGGGGAGCAAACAGGAUUAGAUACCCUGGCAGUCC
rnacentral:rRNA from 1 species